rnacentral:rRNA from 1 species
GACGAACGCUGGCGGCGUGCUUAACACAUGCAAGUCGAACGGAAAGGCCCUGCUUUUGUGGGGUGCUCGAGUGGCGAACGGGUGAGUAACACGUGAGUAACCUGCCCUUGACUUUGGGAUAACUUCAGGAAACUGGGGCUAAUACCGGAUAGGAGCUCCUGCUGCAUGGUGGGGGUUGAAAAGUUUCGGCGGUUGGGGAUGGACUCGCGGCUUAUCAGCUUGUUGGUGGGGUAGUGGCUUACCAAGGCUUUGACGGGUAGCCGGCCUGAGAGGGUGACCGGCCACAUUGGGACUGAGAUACGGCCCAGACUCCUGCGGGAGGCAGCAGUGGGGAAUAUUGCACAAUGGGCGGAAGCCUGAUGCAGCAACGCCGCGUGCGGGAUGACGGCCUUCGGGUUGUAAACCGCUUUCGCCUGUGACGAAGCGUGAGUGACGGUAAUGGGUAAAGAAGCACCGGCUAACUACGUG